rnacentral:snRNA from 1 species
AGGCUAAUUCUGAGAAUAGAUGCUAUUAGUGACGCUUAGUAGAGGUGCGCUGUUUGCUAGUUAAAAACUACUCCAAUUCCCGCCAAGUUUGAUCGUUAAGGUUAUUCUUGCAAUUUUUACGUGGGCUUCGGCCC